GGAGAGGUGCCAGAGCGGCCGAAUGGGCUCGACUCGAAAUCGAGUGACCGCUAAUAACGGUCCGUGGGUUCAAAUCCCACCCUCUCCGCCA
rnacentral:tRNA from 1 species